AUGGUCGACCACAUCUUGCAACAAUGUGUAUUCUCAAGACAAGUGUGGUACACAUGCAUGACCAGGAUGGGAUUGAGAGUGGAGCUUUGCCCAACAUAUGAAUCCCAAUUGGUGCAAUGGUGGACGGAAGCUAGAAAGCGCAUACAUAAGCAAACUCGGAAAGGAUUUGACACAUUCGUGAUGCUCAUCUGCUGGACGCUUUGGAAACAGAGGAACGCGAGGGUGUUCGGAUCGAACUAA
rnacentral:rRNA from 1 species